rnacentral:lncRNA from 1 species
UUUCUUCCUUCCUUCCUCCCUCCCUUCCUCCCUCCCUUCUUCCCUCCCUUCUUCCCUCUCUCCCUUUCUCUCUUCCUUCCUUCUUCCCUUCCUUCCUCAGAGUGAAAAAUAAAAGCAAGAAACAAUCCUGGAGGAAGACAAGCUGUGCUCCGUAUCUAAAAAGAACUGUGGAUAACAGCCCAAGAUGGUAUUUUGAAGUGAGUAGACACCUGGAGAAUACAGUCUUCCUGCUACCGGGGUGAUGGAUAAACAUCUUCAAUCAAGACAUCCUGAGGAUCCUACGGGUUUAGAUGAAGGUGACCAGAAGAAUUCUUUUAACCAAAAAAACAAAAACCCUCUGCCUGCCAAUCAUUUCCUUUUCCAUGGACAUUCUUGUCUUCUUAUAUCAGCAUCAUCAGCAUAUUUAACUUUUCUCAGACACUUAGGGUGGUGGGCGGUUCCGUCUCUGUGGUUUCUGGAUUUUUCUGUCGUGGCUUUACAUACAAUGAGUCGUAGAUGAUUUUUCGACCCCUCUCCUCCUCACAACCCUUGAAGACACCUCAGCAUAGUCCGAUGCACUAACGUGCUGAUGUUAUAGUUGUCACGUGAUAGUGUGAGCAGAAGAGCUCUGUGACCUACCCUUACCUUCUUUGACUGCAUUGUCAGGCUUCAUAGGGCCAUUCCCAGGGUUGCAGCCAGACCUCUUCAUCUCCCCAGUGCCACCAUUGUUAAAUAUUACUCUCCUGCUUUCUUGUAUUUUCCAUUAACCUUCUUGGACCCCACUCUGCUGACAC